rnacentral:rRNA from 1 species
GUCUAUGGCCAUGCCACCCUGAAUGUGUCUGAUCCCAUCUGAUCUCGGAAGCUAAGUGGGGUCAGGCCUGGUUGGUACUUGGAUGGGAGACCACUUAGGAAUACCAGGUGCUGUAGGUG